GCCAUCGUAGCUCAGUGGCAGAGCGCACCCUUGGUAAGGGUGAGGUCGUAUGUUCAAUCCAUAUCGGUGGCA